CUUUGUUUUCGCUACUGUUUUCUGUCCGUAUUAUAUGUAAUUAUUGUCAUAUGUGAUUUACACGAAUUUCGUUGGACGGAUCUGUUGUGGAAUUUUGUCUUUUGUUCGACAUAUUAUGUGCACAAAAGCGAUAACUAAUAAAUUAGAAAUUGGUCCGAAGAGCAGGGUCAUUAAAAAACUAUAUCAGUCAGUCGCCCCUCGAACUUUACUCAUCGGAAUAUUCCUGAAGAAAUAUUGGCCACGGUAAUGGAUAGCCUGUAUUGUUUUCUACUCAGAUUUAUGGAGGGAAGCAUGGUGAACUGAUUAGUUAAUAAGUUUUUGUAGAUUUUAUUGCUGAGCUUAAAUAAAUUAUUGAGCACAAAA